rnacentral:rRNA from 1 species
AUAUAUUAAACCAUACAAUAUUAAUUUACCUAAGUGUAGGUUGUCUAAACUCAAGUACAGAGAUGGAAGCUCAAAUAUAUCAAAGUAAUGAUAAAAUCAUGUACCUUGUGCAUAAUGGUUUUACAAGAUUUAUAUUCAUAAUAAAUAUACCGAAUUCUGCAUGAGCUGCCUAUAUGCAGUUUAGAACUUCAUAAUUGUUAUGUCAUCAACAUUAUCAGACAUAUAGGCAGAGGCUACAUUCCAUCCGCAUAAGAAAAUUUCUGGUUUCUGACAAUUUUUAUUUAUUAAAGUAUAUAAAAUUUUAUAGUACAAGCUAAUUGAGGAUAAGCCCAAUUAAACAAAUUAUUAAAUAAAUAGAGUCAAACCAAAACACGUGGGCCUAUAAUCAGCCAUCAAAACUACGUUAAAGCUUUGCAACCGCUAUAAUUAUAAAAUAUACUGUAAAGUCAGACAUUAUUCUCACUAUAUACAAAUUACCUCACUAUGUAAAAAUAAGUAUUUAUAAACAAACUUUCCACAAUCCAAUAAAUCAUGAGUACUUACCACAAAAUUAAUAAAAGAACUAGGCAAAUACACAUUU